AAGAAUAAAUUCAUUUUCUUUUCAUUUUAAAUCUUUUGGGCUUGGCUUACUUCUUGAGUAAAAUUAAAAUAAUUCCGUAUUUGUCUCCGGGCCGGUUUUGUCUUUUAUCGGAUGAAAAUGUACGUCAUUUUUGACGUCACUGCUGAAGCAGACGUGCUUGGUGUAUUGGAAAGGUAAGUGAUCUCCAAACAAUUUUUUAACGACUUUUAAUUCAUAUUGUUUAAAUAUCAUUUCAUUAUAGUUACAGGUGCGUAUGAACUUUCUAUGUACAUGUAAUACUCCUAUCAUUGUGACUUGUCAUGCAUUUCGUAAACCUAACGAUAGUGAUCUGUAAGUAAUUUUGGAGAAAAAUGUUUCUGAAUGAAUGUAAGCGGUUACAUGUUAGGCUAAAGGCAUAACUAUUUUUUAUAAUUUGUAUACAGGUAAGUAAUUUUGGAUAAAUUUGUUUCUGAAUGAACGUAAGUAUUACAUGUUAGGCUAUUUUUUAAAGGCAUUAGGCCCAAUUGGUUUUCCUUUUGUUACGUACUGAUAUGAAAGUGAAAGUAGAAACCUUGAAACCAUUGUGACUGUCAGUUGGUGUUUAUGUAUGUUGAAAUGGCUGUCAAGUCGAUUCUUUCAUCAACUUAAUAACAAGUGUUUGUUUUUAUGGCCUAUAGAUGCAUGCAGUAACUUGAGUUCAGUGUCACAGUGCUGCGUCUAAAAAGCCCAAAGCUGAUAAGACUGGCGAUUGAUUCUAAAGCUGAUUUGACAGAUGAUUGCAUCAUCGCAAUAUUAAAGGUUCAAUAUUCAGUCAGCGUCUCAUAAGAAUAAAUCCCAAGAUCCAAGACUUGCUUAAAAGCUUAAUUAAGAGACCAUUCUGUGCCACAAAGAAAUUGUUCAGGAAAGGGAGAAAUGGUGGAUUUGCAUUUUGGGUACAGUUCAAACAGAGUUCAAAAAGGUCAAACUCAUGGAACAACUGAAGAAAACUGAAAGAUACAGAAGGAAAAAGAACAAGAAAAUAUAUGAAAUAAUUAUGAAAUUGGCAGGAUGUACACAAUCUUGUCUGCAUUUGACCUGUAAAGAUUUAAUUCCCAUUCUUAUUUGUAUGCUGUAAUAUCAAAUAACUUGAUUUUUCAUAAAUUUACAAUAGAGAAUACAUGACAAAUGUUAUAUUUCAAUUUUGAUUUGGUGUCAUUUCCUGUCAAAUCAUAUUUAUAAACAAGUACAUGGACUAAUUAUGUUAUUCAUUUGUACAUGUAUGCAUGUUUAACUAUUUAAUCAUUUUGUGGAAAUCUUAUAAUUUGUACUCAACUUAGAAUAUGUAAAAUACAUGUAUCGACAAAUGCUA